ACCUUUAUGGAGAGUUACAGGCCAGUCAGUGGAAUGCUCCUCGGAGCAAUUGGAGAUGCUGGAGCAGGAAAUGAAUCAUCUAAAUCUUUAGUGGGAAGUCUCCAAAAUCUCAGGUUGUCAUCGACGCUAAUAAAUGAUAAGUGGACGUGGUGAGGAAUGUGUCGAUUGAGCAGGCAAAGCAAGAGGUUCGGGCACAUAUGAAGCUGGAGAAACAGAGACUUGCAGACCAAGAUAGAAAAUCGGUAAGAGCUGAGAGAUGGAUUCAGGUUCCAUCAGUGAGCUGAAAUAAGGUGUGUCCUCAAAGAAGGUAACAUCUGCAGACAUGUAAAAUCAAUGUGUGGAAGGAGAAUAACACUGAUAUCCCUUCUGAAUCCAAGAGUAACCAAGAAAAAUACAUUUAAUAGCACAGGCAGAUAAUUUAUUAAGACCUGGAGAAAGAUCAUACAUAAAACAGGUAGAACCAAAAAAUACGAGGGGGGGCAAUGUAAAGAGGGUCCU
rnacentral:lncRNA from 1 species